rnacentral:rRNA from 1 species
GACGAACGCUGGCGGCGUGCUUAACACAUGCAAGUCGAACGGAGAUUAUUAAUGAAGCUUGCGAUUUAAUAAUCUUAGUGGCGGACGGGUGAGUAACGCGUGGGCAACCUACCCAUAAGCGGGGGAUAACAGUUGGAAACGACUGCUAAUACCGCAUAAGCUAUUAAGGUCACAUGACCUUAAUAGUAAAGGUGGCGAUUUUACAUUGCUAUCACUUAUGGAUGGGCCCGCGUCUGAUUAGCUAGUUGGUGGGAUAGCAGCCUACCAAGGCAACGAUCAGUAGCCGGCCUGAGAGGGUGGACGGCCACACUGGGACUGAGACACGGCCCAGACUCCUACGGGAGGCAGCAGUGGGGAAUAUUGCGCAAUGGGGGAAACCCUGACGCAGCGACGCCGCGUGAGCGAAGAAGGCCUUAGGGUCGUAAAGCUCUGUUGUAAGGGACGAAUGUUUAUCUGGCGAACAGUCAGAUAAAGUGACGGUACCUUACCAGCAAGCCCCGGCUAACUACG